UCUCUUCCUUUUUUUCCUGGUUGUUGCCGGCGUUUGUGGUGGGAGGUAAGGGAGAUUUGCUUAGAGGUCCGACUGGGACUGGCGUUGGCGAAUCGAACCGGGCCUGGCCUCUGUCUCUUUAGGCCAGAAUGCCUGUUGCCAGGAGUUGGGUAUGUCGGAAGACUUAUGUCACCCCCAGGCGGCCUUUUGAAAAAUCACGCCUUGAUCAGGAGCUGAAACUUAUUGGUGAAUAUGGGCUGCGGAACAAGCGUGAGGUAUGGCGAGUGAAGUUCACUUUGGCCAAGAUCCGCAAAGCUGCCCGUGAGUUGCUCACCCUGGAUGAGAAAGAUCAGCGGCGCCUUUUUGAAGGCAAUGCCUUGCUGCGCCGUUUGGUCAGAAUCGGGGUGCUGGAUGAGGGCAAGAUGAAACUGGAUUACAUCCUGGGUCUGAAAAUUGAGGAUUUCCUGGAGCGGCGUCUCCAGACCCAGGUCUUCAAACUGGGCCUGGCCAAGUCCAUCCAUCACGCCCGAGUGCUCAUCCGCCAGAGACACAUCCGCCUAUGCAGCAAUGACUGUGGCCCUGGCUCAGGCCUUUAUAACCCACCAUCCUUUUGUGGAUCGAAACCUUGGAUAGCUCGAUAGAAUAGUGUCAAAACAACUCUCAAAGAUUUCGGCAAGGUUCACUGCGGCUUGGCCGUACACCUUGUGAAGGUCUGCCACGUGGGUGGCCGAGUGUAAGGAAGCAAGUGGUGAAUAUCCCUUCCUUCAUUGUUCGGCUAGACUCCCAAAAGCACAUUGACUUCUCCCUCCGUUCGCCUUACGGUGGUGGCCGACCAGGCCGGGUCAAGAGGAAGAACGCCAAGAAGGGCCAGGGCGGUGCUGGUGGCGGAGAUGAUGAGGAGGAAGAUUAAGGUGUGGAGGACGGCUUUCCUGCC